GGCAGGUGAGGUUCGUUAGCCGUGGUAGGCAAUUCACCUAGGAGAGCAAACUCCGAACAAUAAACCCGGGCAGGUUGGGCUCGUGAGCCGUCAUAGGUAAUACACCUUGGAGAGCAAACUCCAAACAAUAAACCCGGGCAGGUGGAGCUCGUUAGCGAAAGCAAUUCAUCUAGGAGAGCAAACUCCGAUUACAAACCCGGGCAGGUGGAGGUCGUUAGCGAAAGCAGUUCAUCUAGGAGAGCAAACUCCGAUUACAAACCCGGGCAGGUGGAGCUCGUUAGCGAAAGCAGUUCAUCUAGGAGAGCAAACUCCGAUCAAUAAACCCGGGCAGGUGGAGCUCGUUAGCGAAAGCAGUUCAUCUAGGAGAGCAAACUCCGAUCAAUAAACCCGGGCAGGUGGAGCUCGUUAGCGAAAGCAGUUCAUCUAGGAGAGCAAACUCCGAACAAUAAACCCGGGCAGGUUGGGCUCGUGAGCCGUCUUAGGUAAUACACCUAGGAGAGCAAACUCCGAACAAUAAACCCGGGCAGGUGGAGCUCGUCAGCCGUGGUAGGCAGUCUGCCUAGGAGAGCAAACUCCGAACAAUAAACCGGGGCUUGUGGUGCUCGUUAGAUGUCGUAGACAAUCCACGUGAUGGGAACACCAAAGAAAAGGAAAAUAAAAAGGAACACCAGAAAAAGGAAAAUAUAGUAACAAAACAUCAAGAGAAGUAAAUAAAAAACACAGAUCAUCCACCUUCAGGCCCUAACAUCUCCAAAAUUAUGGAUGAGUCUUUUCUGGGGAGAAAGAGGCUCAUCCAGAACAAAGAACAUCAAAAAGGGAUGAUAUAGAAAGGAACACCAAAAAAAUGGGAAAAAGAGAAAAAAACAUCGCAAAAGAAAAGUAACAACAAUAACAGAACAACGUCAAGAAAAGUAACAUACAAAGAAACAUCAUCCACCAUUCGGCCCCAAACUAACAUCUCCAAAAUUAUGGAUGGGUCUUUUCUGGGGAGAAAGAGGCUCAUCCAGACCAAAGAACAUCAAAGAGGGAUGAUAUAGAAAAGAACACCAAAAAAUAGGGGAAAAAAGAGCAAAAAAACAUCGCAAAAGAAAAGUAACAGCAAUAACAGAACAACAUCAAGAAAAGUAACAUACAAAGAAACAUCAUCCACCAUUCGGCCCCAAACUAACAUCACCAAAAUUAUGGGUGGGUCUCUUCUGGGAGGAAAGCGGCUCACCCAGACCAACGAAGAACAUCAACAAGAGGAUGAUAUGAAAUAAAAGAACAUUAAAAA